rnacentral:rRNA from 1 species
AUUGAACGCUGGCGGCAGGCCUAACACAUGCAAGUCGAACGAGUGGCGGACGGGUGAGUAACGUCUGGGAAACUGCCUGAUGGAGGGGGAAAACUACUGGAAACGGUAGCUAAUACCGCAAACCAUCGGAUGUGGCCAGGUGGGAUUGGCUAGUGGGUGGGGUAAAGGCUCACCUAGGCGCCGAUGCCUAGCUGGUCUGAGAGGAUGACCGGCCAAACUGGAACUGAGACACGGUCCAGACUCCUACGGGAGGCAGCGGUGGGGAAUAUUGCACAAUGGGCGAAAGCCUGAUGCAGUCAUGCCGCGUGUAUGAAGAGGGCCUUCGGGUUGUAAAGUACUUUCAGCGGGUAGGCGGUACCCGCAGAAGAAGCACCGGCUAACUCCGUGCCAGCAGCCGCGGUAAUAC